rnacentral:rRNA from 1 species
AUGCCGGGCCAAAACAUGAUUGGUAGAAGGGGUGUAUUGCUACCUAUACAUCGUGUAUGCCCGCGGCUGGAACCGCGUCAUCGCAUACAUCAUGGCUGCGGUGCAGCUGGUGUUUGUGGUGGCGUUGCUUGUGAUUCAGUUCACUGUUUUCCGCGACGGCCACAACCCAGAGGUCAGGGAGGUGUUCUUUGGAUGGAUUGUGGCCGGCACUGCGAUUCUGAUGUACCUUUCCCCAUUCAAGGAGACGGCCGUGGCAGCCUGGACACGCAACGUGGAGAGCCUCACCCCACUGCUCUCUCUGGCGUACCAGUAGUGGAUGGAACGACCUCAUUGAGGCAUUAG